GAAGCCUGUUUUCGGAUAGGUGGAGAGUGGCGCACGAGGUGAGUAACACAUGGCUGACCUGCCCCUCAGAGGGGGACAACCGCUGGAAACGGUGGCUAAUACCCCAUGGGCUCGUCUGGGUUAGAGGCCGGACGAGGAAAGGCUGAGGCGCUGAGGGAGGGGGCUGUGGCCCAUCAGCUAGUUGGUAGGGUAAAGGCCUACCAAGGCGACGACGGGUAGGGGGCCUGAGAGGGUGACCCCCCACACUGGAACUGAGACACGGUCCAGACUUCUACGGAAGGCAGCAGUAAGGGAUAUUGCGACAAUGGGCGAAAGCCUGACGCAGCAACGCCGCGUGCGGGAUGAAGGCCUUCGGGUUGUAAACCGCUUUUCGGGGGGAAGAGGAAGGACGGUACCCCCGGAAUAAGUCUCGGCUAACUACGUGCCAGCAGCCGCGGUAAAACGUAGGAGGCGAGCGUUAUCCGGAUUUACUGGGUGUAAAGCGCGUGCAGGCGGUCGAGUAAGUCGAGCGUGAAAGCUCCCGGCUCAACCGGGAGAGGACGUGCGAAACUGCUGGGCUGGAGGCAGGUAGAGGCGUGUGGAAUUCCGGGUGUAGUGGUGAAAUGCGUAGAUAUCCGGAGGAACACCGGUGGCGAAGGCGACACGCUGGGCCUGACCUGACGCUAAGACGCGAAAGCAUGGGUAGCGAACGGGAUUAGAAACCCCGGUAGUCCAUGCCGUAAACGAUGCAGACUAGGUGUUGAGCGUGUGAAAGCGAGCAGUGCCGAAGCAAACGUGAUAAGUCUGCCACCUGGGGACUACGGCCGCAAGGCUAAAACUCAAAGGAAUUGACGGGGGUCCGCACAAGCAGCAGAGGAUGUGGUUUAAUUCGAGGCUACAGGAAGAACCUUACUUGUGCUUGACAUGACGGUUGUAGGGAAUCGAAAGAGGACUGACCCUUCGGGGAGACGCCACAGGUGCUGCAUGGCUGUAGUCAGCUCAUGUCGUGAGAUGUUCGGUUAAGUCCGGUAACGAGCGCAACCCUGGCCGUUAGUUACAAGU
rnacentral:rRNA from 1 species